rnacentral:sRNA from 1 species
GCCGGGCGUGUUGGCGCAUGCCUGUAAUCCCAGCUAUUUGGGAGGCUGAGGCAGGAGAAUCACUUGAACCUAGGAGGCAGAGGUUGCAGUGAGCCAAGAUUGUGCCAUUGCACUCCAGCCUGGGCAACAAGAGUGAAACUCCAUCUCAAAAAAAUAAAAAUAAAAAAGAUUGCAGUGGUGCAAUUUCGGCUCACUGCAACCUCUGCCUCCUGGGUUCAAGUGAUUCUU